GUGGCUGUAGCUCAGUUGGUUAGAGUGCAAGAUUGUGGAUCUUGAUGUCGUGGGUUCAAGUCCCAUCAGCCACCCCA
rnacentral:tRNA from 1 species